GACGGGGGCCCGCACAAGCGGCGGAGCAUGUGGAUUAAUUCGAUGCAACGCGAAGAACCUUACCUGGGCUUGACAUACACCAGAUCGGCGCAGAGAUGCGUUUUCCCUUGUGGUUGGUGUACAGGUGGUGCAUGGUUGUCGUCAGCUCGUGUCGUGAGAUGUUGGGUUAAGUCCCGCAACGAGCGCAACCCUUGUCUUAUGUUGCCAGCACGUGAUGGUGGGGACUCAUGAGAGACUGCCGGGGUUAACUCGGAGGAAGGUGGGGAUGACGUCAAAUCAUCAUGCCCCUUAUGUCCAGGGCUUCACACAUGCUACAAUGGUCGGUACAACGCGUGUGCGACACUGUGAGGUGAAGCUAAUCGCUCUAAAGCCGGUCGUAGUUCGGAUUGGGGUCUGCAACUCGACCCCAUGAAGUCGGAGUCGCUAGUAAUCGCAGAUCAGCAACGCUGCGGUGAAUACGUUCCCGGGCCUU
rnacentral:rRNA from 1 species